GCAACAUCUGUGUUUCAUUGGGCCGGAGUAAUGACAAACACACUCUCACAGCUGAUUAAAAACACACAUCGCACGGAUGGAGCCCUUGCAUUGUAUGAAAUGUUGCGUUUCACAGGUUUGCAACAACACGAGGAUGAGUGUGACUUUUCAUUUCGUUUUCCAUUUUGUGUGAACUGCUCCUUUAAGUGCACAGAGCUUAUUUCCUCAUGAUAAUCACCUCUUUGUUUUCCUAAUUCACCCUUUCCUUUGCUUUGUUUCUUUCAUUAGAUCUCUCGAGUGUCUUUUCAACGGCUCGUCAUCACGGAAGCUUGUCUUAUCUUAUUAAAAGCGGAUUGAAAACAAAAGAUUUCCCGCGCAAGGCCUUCUUUAAUAAAAGCACUUUGAACCCUCUGUGUGCGUGUGAAGCUCUGCUUGUUCUCGUCAGUACAACACGGCUCGAUUGGAGGAGAUGUGACCGUUUGUGCACGAGCAAUCAGCGGUUCCUCGGGUUCUCUCGCGUGCAAACCGAGCCGAUGGUGAACGGAUCUGACGAGUAAUGAUGUGCAGGUGUUUGCCCCCGACCCGGGGCAGCAGUUGGCUAGCGCUUGGGAAAGCUGGCCGUGUUUCAGUGUGUUUGGGCUGAAUGUAAUCUGUCUCUCUGGCCCUGCACAAAUCUGACACGACAGAGACGGGCGUAAUGUGAAAAGGAGCCAUACAACACCAUGUGCAUGAGGUUCAGGUUUCUGAGGAGAGUGCGCCACCUGCUGGUGGACAGUGAUAUUGCCAGUAGUAGAGCUUAACAGUGUGAACAAAUAAUGCUCAAAAAAACUUUUGUGUAGAAUAAAACUUGUCAUACUGAUAUCCUAUACUCUGAGUAAAUUACACUU